CAGUAGCCGCGGGAAAACGAGGGGGGCUAGCGUUGCUCGGAAUUACUGGGCGUAAAGGGAGCGUAGGCGGACAUUUAAGUCAGGGGUGAAAUCCCAGAGCUCAACUCUGGAACUGCCUUUGAUACUGGGUGUCUUGAGUGUGAUAGAGGUAUGUGGAACUCCGAGUGUAGAGGUGAAAUUCGUAGAUAUUCGGAAGAACACCAGUGGCUAAGGCGACAUACUGGAUCAUUACUGACGCUGAGGCUCGAAUGCGUGGGGAGCAAACAGGAUUAGAUACCCCAGUAGUCCCUGUCUCUUAUAC
rnacentral:rRNA from 1 species